UGCGAGUGCCCAUAAACUCUGCUCUGCAGCCCUCACCCCGCCUCCAGUCAUGGCUCCAACUUGUUUUUCAUUAGAACUUAAGAAAAAACCUUAAAGAAACCAGCCUGUUUAUGAAGACAGCAGAGGAUGGAGCUGGCCACCUGGCUGGUGUCUUCCUCUGCUGAGCCUCUGUGUCCCCUGCCUGGCUGCUGCCCUUCCACAGUAUCUCAUGUGACUGGCCUUGAGCUACAUUCCUCAUUACACAAUGCAUCUUACUAGAACUGCCGUCUGGCAAGCCAGGAUGCCGGGUGCAAAAGAAGAGGGUUACAGUGGAUCCGGGUGCAAGGACCAUUGCUUCUACUCCGGGGCAUUUCUGAAACACUAUGACAGCUGUUGUGGAGCCCGCUCCAUCCUGAGCACUCCAGCGUUCCAUUUCAAGGAUCUCUUCCUGGCUCCCCUUCCACCGUCAUUCAUUUGAGAGAAUGUGGCCUUGAGAUCAAGGUGUGGAGAGCUGCCAGCUACUGCCACCUGACACGAAGCCUCGUCACCCUUGUGUAUUUCUCUCCCCUCUCCAUUCUCGCCAUGGGGUCACAAUGUGGGUCAUUCUUUCCUUUCACCAAGGGAUGAGCAGGGGAAGAGAGGGCUGGAAAAAGAGACCACUCCCUUUGCUGACUGAUUAGGAAGAAGUAUGGGGUCCGAGUGGGCCCACCCCUUGCCUAAUUUUUGCCCAAUUUGUUGGCCCCUGGAGUCCCUGGUAGACUUCUUAUCUUCUUACACACAAGGUUACCAUGUGUCUAAUUGCUCAGCUCCAGUUAGAGCGGCAGAGGGAAAUUGGUGUUAAUGAACGAACGAAUGAAUUGAUGGUAUACUGACAACUUGGAGAAUCAACUGGGGUUUGAGCAAGAACUGGAAAGAGAAGGCCAACAUCUUUUAGCUUACCAAAUACUUUCAUGCCCCUUGGGAAGAAGAAAAAUGGAUAUGGGAGAGGCAGAGCAUGGAAGAGUUUGAAUUGAGCAUGAAGGACAUAAAACUAGAUAAGUAAGAUCAGAAGAUAAAAGAUGAGUAAUCAUCAAAUCCAAACCUUUACAUUUUCAGCAGAGGGUGCCAAAACCUCAAGGGGAAGUGACUUCCUUAAAAAUCACAGAACCAGAAUGAAGACUUGGGUCUUUUGACUGUCUUUUUUUUUCUUUUUUGGUCCCUGAUAAAACAUUGCUCUUUUCUUCUCCAUAUUUUCGUAUUUUCCAACUCAUUUAUUCCAGGAAAGUACCUGCCCUCUAACCUGGGGUUCCUCUUUUUUGGCCUAAAGAAGUUAUACAAACUUACGUUGAGUUUACUGUCUUUGAAGCCAUUUUGGCUUUGUUUUGUGGCCUCAAGGCUGCCCUCACUCAGAAAGGAUGAGUGAUGGUAGCAGAAGCCAGCCAAGCAGGGCCAGUCUCGCCCCAGGCUGGCCCCAUUAAAGGUUUGGUUUGGGUUCUUACCAGGGUGCACAAGUCUUGCCUCCUAGGAGUUUGGUCCAGUGGUCUGCAGUCCUGGGAAUGUAUGCUGUCUCGAAAAGAGGUUUUCAGACCUUGCCUGAUGAUCCAGGGACUGGAACUGAACACACGUUUUACCCCUUUAUAGCAACUUGGGUGUCCCAAACAGUACCCAUCACUUCCAAGUCCCAGUCUAGGAUUUUCUAACCAAGUAUGUAGUUAGAGGAAAAUUUAAUCCACAUGUAUCUGACUCACUGAUCUCUAAAUCAUCCUAAAGUUUGAUUCUGGGAAUGGUUUGAUGUGUACUCUGCUUUUUUUCAACUUUUGGAUCAGUGCACUGGCCAAGACAUAAUAAAUAGCAACCCUGAGAGAGAAAAGGAAGCUUCAAGUAGAGGCACGAACUGCAGCCUCUUCCCCUAGUCCCAGCUGGAGACAGGUGCCCAGCAGGAGCAUUGAGUAGGCACAAGCUCAGAAAUACGCCUUAGGUUAUCCUCACCCUCAACCUCCUCUCCUGGGAUGCAGAGCCCAACUGGGGAAAAAUCACUCAGCCCAGAAGAUGGUGACACCACGGAUUUAUGGCAUCUGAUUUUUGUUACACCCUCCAGGGUACACACUAACCCCAGCUUGUGAUUCCUCCUGUCAUCCAAGGUCAUUCCAGUCCAUUUCCACUUUUCUGGAGAUCCCAAACACUCUUUCUCAACAAUUUCUCAUUGUGAAAAGAAAAAGGAGUCCAUCAGGAAAGAAUUUCCUCUAUUGCCUGGGAUGCUCUACAAACCUCCAUGCCUGAGCAACUCCCCUUUUCCACGAGGCACAGUUCUGCCUCCUGUGCUGCCUCUCCGGGCUGGUUCCUAAGACGCCUCCCCAGCAAUUCUACUGCAUGAAAACCUCAGAGUCUCGGAGUCUGUUUCCGCUGAUGUGAGCUAAGAGUGUUUCAGGAAGAGGGGCGUGUCAUCAAGAUCCUAUUUCUUCCUCUGUUCUCUGGGACCUUGCUCUAUUAUCCUCUCUUUUGCCUUGAGUUUUUUCUGAAUCUUUAUGCUCCACCUCUCCUUAGCCUAUAUACUCAUUCAAGUAUUUCCCACACUAAAAAACAAAUUUAAACCUUCCACCUGAAGUCUCUAUUACACCUUGUGUCUUCUCCUUUAGUCAAGCUUCUCACAAGUGUCCCCUGUAUUUUCUCCCUUCGUGUCACAUUGACUCCACAACCCAUUGUAGUCUGGCAUGCACUGUUACCACAGAAAUGCCCUCUGUGGGUUGGGCACGGUGGCUCACGCUUGUAAUCCCAGCACUUUGGGAGGCCAGGGCGGGAUCACCUGAGAUCACGAGUUCAAGACCAGCCUGGCCAACAUGGUGAAACCGUGUCUCUACAAAAAUUAGCUAGGCAUGAUGGCAGGUGCCUAUAAUCCCAGCUACUCAGGAGGCUGAGGGGGGAGAAUCACUUGAACCCUGGAGGCAGAGGUUGCAGUGAGCUGAAAUCAUGCCAUUGCACUCCAGCCUGGGUGACAGAGUGACACUCUGUCUCUAAAAAAGAAAAAAAAAAAAAAGAAAUGCCUUCUGUGAAAUCAUCAGGGACCAUCUGUGGUUGCAUUUCAGUCUUUUCCUUACUGGACUUGUCAACAGUAUUUGACAUCAUCGACCUUUCCUGCAAUCCUGACAUGCUUUGCUCCUUUGGAGCAGUGUGACACUGCUCUUUCCUGGAUCUCUUCCUAUGACUGUAUAAGAUUCUUUUCAUUCUUCUUCACAGGUCCUCUUUUCUCCAGUAGAUGCACACACAUUGACUGGGAUUCCCAUAGUGUCUGUGGCUAUCCAAUGCUGUCUUUCCUCCUGCCUCUGCACAUUCCCCACUUCCAGCUAAGCUACACCCUCAUGCCCAUGACCCCAGAUCUGCAUGUCCAGCCAAAGACUUUGUUCUGAGCUCCACCUUAAGUUCUCUGAGACCAAAGCAGGACUCUCGCUUCCCUCUGACUCUGCUCACGUUUCUGAAGACCCCGUCCUGGAGAAGGAUUCCCCAGGCCCUGUGCCUCAUUCUUAACACCCAGUCUCUUGCCGGGUUUCCUGCUUCAGCAUCCAUCUGCUCUAAUCCAGCCCCAUUUGGACUUCCUUAGUUCAGGCUCUCACUUCUUGCUAGCCUCCCAACUGGUUUCCCUUCAGCCAUUCCUGACCAUAGCUGAUCCAUACUACCCAUAGCAGCAAGAGUGGUCUUUUUAUAAACAAACAUGUCCAUCACCCCCUUACUUAAAAUUCUUUAGUGGCUUCUCAUCACUCAGGGUAAAAUCUAAAUUAUUUAGCACAGUAUAAAACAAUCCUUUAUGCUCUGGUCCCAUCUGUCAGCCCAGCCUCAUUUCUCCUCCCAAGCUCUCCUCUUUAAGCCACAGCAGCACUGCAGCUCAUUGUUUGAACUCCCAGAACACAGAAGGCUUUCUUGGGAUUCGAUUUUUUUCUUGUGUCUUUGCACUUACUCCUUCUUCUACCCACACUGCUCUUUCUCUACUUGUCUACCAGAAAACCUCCUAUUCAGCUUUCCAGGCUCAACUCAUGUCCUGUCUCCUCCUGGAGGCCUUCCCUGAUUUCUCAAGGCAAAUUUGAAUGCUGUUUUCCCUACCUCCCCUUUCUGCAUUCUGUAUCUGCCUCCACUGCUAAUGAGCAUACUGCCCUGUGAUCGCUCAUUUGAAGUAGGAGCCUCUGGAAGCCUUGACCAGCUGAAAGUACCUUUUCAUCUUCGUACCUCCUAUACAAAGUAUAGGGCCUGGCAUAUAAUAAGCACUCAAUAAACUUUUUUUUUUGAGAUGGAGUCUCCCUCUGUCACCCAAGCUGGAGUGAAAUGGCGCAAUCUUGGCUCACUGCAACCUGUGCCUCCCAGGUUCAAGCGAUUCUCCUGCCUCAGCCUCCUGAGUAGCUGGGAUUACAGGUGCAUGCCAAGGCACCUGGCUAAUUUUUGUACUUUUAGUAGAGCCGGGUUUUCACCAUGUUGGUCGGGCUGUUCUCGAACUCCUGACCUCAGGUGAUCCACCCACCUCGGCCUCUCAAAAUGCUGGGAUUGCAGGCAUGACCCACCAUGCCCGGCCUACACUCAAUAAACUUUUUAUUGUUGUUUUUGAGAUGGGGUUUCAUUCUGUUCCCUAGGCUGGAGCACAGUGGCACAAUCUCAGCUCACUGCAACCUCCGCCUCCUGGGUUCAAGCGACUCUUCUGCCUCAGCCUCCUGAGUAGCUGGGAUUACAGGCGUGCACCACCAUGCCUGGCUAAUUUUUUGUUUUUUUGGUAGAGACAGGGUUUCACCAUGUUGACCAGGCUGGUCUCGAACUCCUGACCUAGUAAUCCACCUGCCUUGGCCUCCCAAAGUGCUGGGAUUACAGGCAUGAGCCACUGUGCCCGGCCUGAUUUUUAUAUUUUUUAGUAGAGAUGGGGUUUCAUCAUGUUGGCCAGGCUGAUCUCAAUGAAUGUUGAAUUAGUAAUCAUGUCUAGCUUUUGUGGAGCACUUUCAAUAGGGCCAGGCCAAGUGCUAAAGCAUUUCAACAUCCCUUACAUCACUGAGUUCACACAUUCACCACUACCAGAUGAGGUAGGUGUCAUUAUCCCUAUUUUAAAGAUGAGAAAACUGAGACUUACAGAGGCUAGGUAACUCUCCCGAGCUAGUAAGUGGCACAGAAGAGCCUUGAACCAUCUUUUCCCCAUGAGCACAAGCUGCUAUUUGCAGUCAGUCACACAGGUAGUUUCAAUGUGGUGAGUUCUGCACCUGCUCUAAGGAACUGCCUUGCACACACAGUCUGUCACACCUCAGGCCAUUUAUGCUUCCCUCUACCUAUCAACUCAGGCCUUGAGGCCUGCACUUGGCAAACAAAAUUUAGGCAUCCCCUCCUCAGCCAGUCUUUGGUCCGCUGUCAAAGUCUUUUCCUGUGGCUAGGGUCCUGCAGUUGCUGCCCAGACCCUUCCUAGAUUUGCUGCCCGACAUCCUGGUCUCCUGGCUGUGAGUUCGGCUUCCUGCCCACUCAGAGUCACAGCAGCACUCUGUAAUGCUUGAUUUCCCAGCCUUGUCUAGCCAGUAGUUGGUUGUGAGCCUUUAGUUCUGAGGAGCAGCCUGGUCCACAGCUUCGGCUCUGAGCUGACAGCUUCCCGUGUAGCCCCGGUGCUCUCAGCCUGACAGUCCCCUGCCCCGGUGUCCUCCUGGCCUUGCGAUUGGUCUCCUGGCCCUGCGUGUCGAGUUCUCUCUCACAUGAAUGGCAGCUCAGGGCCAGACAGCCAGAGAAGACAGAGAGGUGAGGGGACACAUAGAAAGGCCCAUAGUGUCUCCCAGGGACAGAUGUGCGGCUCUCCAGGAGUCCAGGAGAGACUGUUGAGGGUCCUCCCCACAACACCUGCCACCUGUGUUCCUCUGCAGCCACCAUCCUGCUUUAUGAGUUUUCUUCUUCUUCGUCAUCUUUGAAUACAAAGAUGACUUUGUUUUACUCCCCAAUAUUUUGUUUUCUUUGAAAAAAUAUAUAUUUUAAUGGUUUUUGGGGUACAGGUAGUUUUUGGUUACAUGGAUGAGUUCUUUAGUGGUGAUUUCUGAGAUUUUGCUGCACCUGCCACCUGAGCAGUGUACACUGUACCCAAUUACGGUCUUUCACCCCUCACCCCCUUCCCACCCUUCCCUGUGAGUCCCCAAAGUCCCUUCUAUCAUUCCUAUGCCUUUGCGUCCCCAUAGCUUAGCUCUCACUUAUAAGUGAGAACAUACGGUUUGGUUUUCCAUCCCUGCGUUACCUCACUUAGAAUAAUGGUCUCGAGCUCCAUCCAAGUUGAUGCAAAGGCCAUUAUUUCGUUCUGUUUUAUGGCUGAUCCAUGGUGGAUUUAUACCACAUUUUCUUUCUUUCUUUUUUUUUUUUAGAAAUAGGAUCUCACUAUGUUGCCCACACUGGUCUCAAACUCCUGAGCUCAAGAAACCUGCCCACCUCGGCUUCCCAGAGUGUUGGGAUUACAGACAUGAGCUACGGUGCACAGGCCCCAGCUCCAUAUUUUUGUAACUGUGAAUUCUUUAUGUGCUUUCUUCCUGGUCACUUUCAGUUUCUCACUAUGGCAAAGUUACAGUGCAAGUAAAAGAAAUCUGCUCUUGCCUGGCAGGAUGACAUUUUGCAUUUAGCUUGUAUUACUAUUCUGUUGAACAAUGAUUGUACCUGACUAUAAUUACUGUAUUAGCAAUGCCCUCUUGACUGACAAGAUGAAGAUUUUGCAUUCAACUUUUUUCAUUCUUUUCUUUAGGCAGACUCUUGCUUUGUCACCGGGCUGGAGUGCAGUGGCGCAAUCUUGGCUCACUGCAACCUGUUGAAAGCAGGGUCUACACCUUUUCACCUUUGCAUCUCCUAUACAAAGUAUAAGGCUUGGCAUAUAAUAGGCACUCAAUAAACUUUUUUUUUUUUUUGA